UCAAUGUUUGUCUGAAUAUGGAAUCAAUAGAAAUGUAAGAAGACAUUACAGACUCGAGAUUCUUUCCACACAAAACCCAACGAAUCUCCGAAUCCCCGUUUUUCUCAAACGCAUCGGUCAAACCUCAAGGAAACUGAAAUGACAAGAUGUGUAGAUUGGUUCCGUUUCCCAGAGCGGUGUUGGUGUGUCGUUCAGACUUUGGCCCCCAUCGGUUCUCCAGCUGUUUCUUUAAAAGCUUCAUCUGAAAUCGUUUAACCACCUCCAAGUGUGUCUGACGUGACGCAGAGAAGAUCAGUUAUGGAAGGUUUAAACUGCUUCCUCAGGUCGUCCCCACUGUGAAGGUCAGUUUAUUGGAAAUGUUUUCUUCCCAUUUGGAACUUAAAGGCAGCUUUAAAGCUUGUGAAACAUGAGCGUAACCCCAAAGUGAAUUUAUUUACCCUAAACUGUUUAGCUGUUUAACAAACGUUUGAUAAUGAAGAUAAAAAGGAGGAAAACCACAAAAAGACAACAGUAGAAAUGAUUUUUUUACCAAACUUUAUAAAGUUGAGGGAAGUCCUGGAGCCCCAAACAGACUUAAGGACACAUUAAGGGAAGAAGCUGCAUCAGAUUCUCUUCCAGGCACAUCAGCGUCUCAAUGACAAACGUUUUGGCAGUGAAAGCUCCAGAAGACAGAAGAAGUGCUUUAAGACGUUGGAAUCUCCCAUCCGACACAUGCAGAACGGUCCUGUGCAGCAGCGUUCUGCACUGCUGAAGGUCUGAAGGAUGGACGCAUUUGAACUCAUUCACCAAUGUCCAAAGGUCAAAACCUUAGUGAGGGGGCGGGGCCAGAGCCCAGACCCACUGUGGUUAGUCUAGAACACGUUUGAGUCUCCUGGAAAGUAUCAAACGUACAGAAUCACAGAGAGCAGAAAAUCCCACUAACCAAUCCCUGCUCAGAAUAUGAAAAGCCCCGCCCACAUCACACAAUUUAAAGUAAAAAAAAAAAGUACCAAC